UACGAAGGGGGCUAGCGUUGCUCGGAAUCACUGGGCGUAAAGGGCGUGUAGGCGGGACAGUAAGUCGGGCGUGAAAUCCCUGGGCUCAACCCAGGAACUGCACUCGAAACUACUAUUCUUGAGUGUCGGAGAGGAAAGCGGAAUUCCUGGUGUAGAGGUGAAAUUCGUAGAUAUCAGGAGGAACACCAGUGGCGAAGGCGGCUUUCUGGACGAUAACUGACGCUGAGACGCGAAAGCGUGGGGAGCAAACAGG
rnacentral:rRNA from 1 species